rnacentral:lncRNA from 1 species
ACAUACAAUAGUAAUAAGAUAUGGAGUGGGCUGGUAUGCUUCGAGAAGCACGGAGCCUUUCGUAUUUUCAAAUUAUUUUUAAUAUUGCGACUUUCGAAUAGAUGAUCGGCUCCGUUAGAAUUGAUCUAGAGUAUUUGAAGUACCUAGGAAAUAAAUUUUGUGAUUUUUCGAUAUCAUUUGCCUAGUGAUCGAAGGUUCUCAAAAUCAAUAAUUUUAAUGACCGUAGUGAGCCGUUUGCAAGUUUUAGAGUAUAGAAACAUUCAAAUCACGUGAAAUUUUGAUAGAAAAUUCUUUAUACUAUAUAGAACAAAAUCAAUAACUUUGAUUUAAAAUUUUAAUGUCAUAUCAUCAUAGUUUGUAAGAUUUUUAUUUUCAGCCGUUGAUUUUGAGCCACUUCGAUCACUAGGCAAAUGAUAUCGAAAAAUAGCAAAAUUUAUUUUCUAGAUACUUCAAAUACUCUAUAUCAAGUCUAAUGGAGCCGAUCGUCGAUUCAAAAGUCCCAACAUCGAAAACGACUUGAAAGCACGGAGUGCUUCGUGCUUUCAGAAGCACACUAAACGCACUCAUAAGAUAUGAU